GUUGGCAUUUAUUUUCCUUAGCAGUGUGUUUCUCUAUGUUGUACGUAUGGCUGUGUAGUUACUGGAACAAAAGCUCAGAGCUGCCUGUCCUGUGUGGGAGCAUUAGUGUGAAGAUCAAGCUUUUUAAAAAGUUUAUUUCUAUUUGCAGCUUCUACCCCAAACUUGCUGAACUGUAAGAAAGAACCAGAAAGGAAUCAUAAGGAUUUUUGGGAGCACCAAGAUACAAAACUAAGCUGUUCCCCUGCCCCACUCAGCAGGUGUUCACCACCUUCAUUCUCAAUCAGUUCAACUUACAAAACUGUGCCUAACUUUUUUGUCAUUCUUUAUUUCUCUUGCUUUCUUUCUUUAUUCUCUUUCUCCCUUUCUCUCUUUCUUUUUUUUUCUCUUUCUUUUAAAAUUCUCUUUCCCNNNNNNNNNNNNNNNNNNNNNNNNNNNNNNNUUUUUCCUUUCCCCUCUCUUGCUUUCUUUUUAUUCUCUUUCUCCCUUCUCUCCUUCUUUCUUUAUUCUUUCUCCCUUUCUCUUUUUCCCUGUCUUUCUUUUUUCUCUUUUUCUGAUUCUUUCUUUUUUACUUUCUUUUGUUUUAUUCUCAUUCUCCCUUUCUCUAUUUCUUUUUUUUUCCUUUCAUUCCUUUUCUUUCUUUACUCUCUUUCUCCCUUUCUCUUUCUUUUUCCUUCCUUUCUCUCUCUUUCUUUCUUUUUGUUCUCUUUCUCCGUUUUCUCCAUUUUCCUUUCUUUCUCUCUGUUUUUUUUUUUUUUAAUUCUCUUUCUGUUUGUUUCUUUUUCCCUUUCUUUCUCUCUUUCUUUCUUUCUUUUUCUUUUUUUUUUUGUCCCCUUUCUCCCUUUCUCUCUUUCUUUUUCCCUUUCUCUCUCUGUCUUUCCCCUUCCGUCAUCUCCCCUUCCCUGCUGUCCUCCGCGGGCAGAGGGCGACAGGUGAGCGACGCGAUGGAGGCAGCGCAGCUCGGCUGACAGCGGGCGCAGGAGAAACAGCGGGACGGACAACCGCGGAGCGCCCAGCCCGACCGGCGGAUGGAGGGGAUGGGGCGGGG
rnacentral:lncRNA from 1 species